CGACCCUGCACAUAGCAGGGGGUUGAAACUCGAUGAUCACUGUGGUCCUUUUCAGCCCAGGCCAUUCUAUGAUUCUAUGACCCAAUUCUUAAAGACUGGAACACUUUCAUUUGGAACUGGAGAGUCCUCUCAGAAUAUACUCUGAAAAGGCAGGAAUUGGCUGAUUCAGAGUUAUCUGUGGACUUGAUACGAGGUCAUUGUUAUCUUAACCCUAACCCUCCCCAGCCUUUUUUCUGAGCUAUAAUCACAAAUGUGACUGUUGCGUUGUUCUUCCUAUGCUGGCAAUCCCCAUUUUAUCCUAAUUCUCAGUGCUUCAGGCACCCGAAUAAAGUGUAAGAAACUCACAUUUCAGGCCUUCCUCUGCCAGGAAGAUUUGAACUCUCAUAUUUUGUUCUCCCAAGAAAGCUGUAGGUAUGCGUGCUCAGGGGAUAUAACAUCCAUGCCUGUCGGCAACGUUCACAUUUAUUUGUAAGGAAAUAAUUCAGUACUUUUUGGAGUGGAUGCCCCCGUGUCAUACCUCCCAGGUAGUUGUCCUGGCCAGCACUCUUGAGAGUCAUUUUUCUAUGUGGUUUAGAAUUAAAGUAUUAAGUAUUAGAAAAGGAAAACUACAGGGGAGAGUGAAGAGCCCUCUGUUUCAGAACACCCCAUUGCCUGCUGGUUAGCACAUGCUAUGAGAGGUAGACCUGAGAGAAGCCAACCUGCUUCUGUGUUCCUGUAUCCCUCUAUUCACGUGUGCAGAAUAAUCCCAGACGCUCCAAGGCAGGACUUGCUAUUUAAGCCAAAAGUUUGCAGGAGGAUACAUGCUGUGUGAAAGUUCUCUUAUUCCAGUGGCUGCUUUUGAGGUAAACAGAACGUUUGCAAAGGGCAACAAAUGCAGCACCAUUGCACAGGAUAAACUUCUUGUUGGUAUUGUGGCUAUUUAAUGACUCGCUACGUAGGUAGAAUUCAUUUCAAAUGUUGUUUAAAUGUAACUGUAUGUCUAUGAGAAACAGCUGUUCUUUCAGCCAGACUCAGCUGUAGUGUGUGUGGCAUAAUUCUCCCGAGUCUCACUUAAAAUCCAAUGGAGAGUUUGAGGUGUGUCCUCAAAUUGCAAAGAUGUUCUGGUUUGACCCACCCCUUCCGUGAGAACAGCAGCACUCCCACUGACUUCAAACCCAGCCUUUGCUGCCAUGCUCAGAUGCUGACAAGUUAACAGCUCUGAAAAGUGGUGCAUGAGGUAUGGCUGCGUUCUGACAGGAGGAAGGAAGAGCUCAAAAGACAUUCUGGAAUUGGACUGCGACGUGUUUUGGUGUCUUUAGUAGAAACACCAAACGAGCCGUAACUGCUGCAAAAUGCCUACUUUUGAUCUUUCUGCAUCUCUAUUGUUUUUGCUACAGUGAGAAGGCCUGAGAUAAGGAUAAUUUUUUCCCCACUGGGACUCUAUUUAUAGGCUACAAGGCCAGAAGAGAAUGUGGCCAGCCAGCCUGACCUCUCGGGUGGCAGAUGCUGUAGGACUUCCCUUAGUUAACUGGUGUUUGAACUAGAGCUCCUCUUUUAGGAUCAAGAGAUCUCGAUUUCUGGGAAAUCCCACCACAACUCUUGGAACAUUUUCCCAAUGAACUACUACUACCUGCUGUAAAAAAUGUGUUCAGUAUACACGAUCAGAGUUUGCUUAGCUUUAUCUUCCAGCCACCGUACCUUAUAUGUAAUAAGUCUUCUAUUACAGGUGUGUUCCCUUCAUGCCAGGAAUCCUGGAAUCAAACUGUCUUAAAUUAAAUCAUUUGGAGCCCUUC
ensembl:lncRNA